UACAGAGGUCUCAAGCGUUGUUCGGAUUCAUUGGGCGUAAAGGGUGCGUAGGCGGCGCGGUAAGUCGGGUGUGAAAUCUCGGAGCUUAACUCCGAAACUGCAUUCGAUACUGCCGUGCUUUGAGGACUGGAGAGGAGACUGGAAUUUACGGUGUAGCGGUGAAAUGCGUAGAUAUCUGGAGGAACACCGUGGCGAAGGCGGCAUCCUGGACCGGUAUUGGACGCUGAGGCGCGAAAGCCAGGGGAGCAA
rnacentral:rRNA from 1 species